ACAAGCAAUGAAGAAAUUGGAAUUCUUAGAGGAAUAAGUGAAAUAGACAACCGCACUAUAUUAAAACGCCUAACUGACUAUCUUAGUGAAUGAACAUAAAAGUCAAAAAUUCACAUAAGAAAAAUCGGUCAAACAAAAGUGUCCCCUAACACUUUAUUUAUAAUUAUUUAUAUCAAAUGUGUUGUCACGCAUGAUCAACGACCCUGCCUAUGCAAUAGACAAUCUUUUUCUCUUAAACAACAAUACCAAUACUUUGCAUCCAACACAAAAUUCUACUUCAAGGAAAUUUUCAAUAACCUCCAAUAAAUAUUUGAGAUUCUCGAGCUAUUCUAAGCAGCCUCAAGAGCAUUAAUCAACUUAAACAAAAUAAGGGCUUUGUGGAUUAGCAACAACCUAAGGCCGUAAAAUUGGAGGAAAGAUAAAGGUCUCAUAUGGCUCCUUUGGAGUACAUACACCAAAUAUCUAGGCUUCAUCUUUGAAGAUGAAAUAGCCCAACAUGACAAUGAUGAAGCAAUCAUGCACCAAAUUUGGACAAAACUAGCACAAUGGUUGAACAAAAAACUCUCCCAAGGAUGACUUGAUCUUGGAUGCUCAAGUAAAAUUAGAUCAUAUUCAAGAACAUAUGGUAUCUGGCAUCAUGUCUUCUACUUGAUUGACGUUGUUGAUGACAUAGAGUUUUGAUGACAAUAAGAGCCCUCAUCUGGAACUUCGUAUUGGCAGGGGACAGGAACAGGAAGACAAGGGCCAAAGUAGCAUGGGACAUAGCAAUUGCCUUGACGAUCAAAUGAAGGAUCAAGAUAUUCGACCCACUGGGCCAAACAAGAGCCCUUGUGGCCAAAAUGAUACCAAGCGCCCUAGUCCCGAGAGAAGAGCCCUGGAAAUCACUCAUCUUGUACUGGAUCUAGAAUGCACAGCUCAGCAAAAACGAAGACUAUAACAAACACAUGGGUUGGAUAUUCAUGGCCCCCAAAAUAUGGCCAUAAAGCUCCUACCUUUGGUACGCAAUAUGGACUAUGUGGGCAUCGGUCAGGAAGGGACUUACCAAAGCACUUGCUACCUUGCACGCCAAAAAGAUGCACCAGCCCCUAUUCUUGAACACAAAAAUCACCACGGAUGAUAAUGUUAGCCUAUGAGCAAAGGCCAACUCAAGGUUCUGCACAUGGUCUAUCAACAACGUCAAUCAAGUAGAAGACAUAUGAAACAACCAUCUACACAACUGGCAGACCGAUCAAGCACCAAGACGCAAGACGCGAUCCAAGAAGUUCAAAUUCUCACACAUUGCACAUAAAGAGGUAAAGUAGAACUUCACGCAACUUAGCCCCCCGAUCGAUGGGAGAUGGGUAACGUCGAGCAAUGAGGCACCGGUCUACCACAUAACAGGAAGCGGACCCAAAAAAUGGAAGGGCUCGCAAUAUGCAAGAGCAGCCAAAACGAGCUAACUUGAUAAGACCAACAACCACAUGACGGUACCCGUAGACCCAACAGAGGAAGCAAAGAUAUUCGUAAGGAACCAGUUGGGCAAGGCGGUGGAGUUCAACCCAACUGACCACCCAGAUGGAACUUGCAUAGUAUGGACGCAAGGAGAGAGCCUCACGAAAGGCCCCAACCCAAAGAAAUGGACGUGGCACAAAUAAGGCCCGAUGCCGACAGAACAAUUAUUCAACUACACUACAAAGAGAGGAUACAAAACCAUCCUAACACAGCAAUGCAGACAAAUGGAAUUCCGCAAGACCAUGGCGAGCCGAGGCUUCUCCCCUGCCCAGCAAACACAAUACUUUGCCAAACUUUGGCACCCGUGGCUCUCCUGCAAGACAUCCGCCAUUGUGUGGCUCUUGACCACGGAGGGCCCUCCCCAUCGGGGAGUGGAGGCGCAAAAUACAACAAGACGCCCACUACAGCCUCUGCACCGGCCGGAUCCCUGAAACGGCAGAGCACGCAUUCUUUGCGUGUCCACAAGUCACGCUAGCCUAGGAAAAAUGUGCGACUGCCAAGAGGCUCUCAGACUUGACCACCCCCAACACCAUGUAGGAGAUUGCACUCCACGGCACCUUCCCAACCCCAGCAGCCAACAACACGAAUGCACAUGAGUUAAUUGCUCGUGCUCCAUCUCCAAGAACACACCCUGGGACAUCCUGCGAUACGUCAUCAUCUGGUACAUAUGGUGCCAAAAAUGCGAGCACCACCUCAGGGAAGGGCGUUUCUACCUCGGGCUAGUACUAUACUGAGCGUGGAAGACUACAGCCUAGGUAGCCAUGGGAGCAUGGGCAGAACUACAGAAAUUCAAAUACUGCCGCUCACCCGAAUGCCAUGGCAAAAUGGAGUCCAAAUUCACGGCGAUAUGGGUGCAAGGGAACGUCUUCUGCAAGGCAGCACACCCCCCCCCAAGUGGAAGCUGAUCCUCCACCCCAAAUUCCUCCCUAGGGUCCUAGCCAGCCGACUCCAGACCAUCCCAACACCCAUUGCAAGCCGAACGCAAUCGCAAGAGGAACCCGAAAAUAAAGCCUCACCUCAACUAGGCGCAGAACGAAUCAGACAACCAAUGGCCCAGCCGCCCCCCAGCCCUCCACUACAAGACGAGGACGCCAGAGAACAACUCGCAAGGGCGAUGGCAGAAGACAUCGUAGCACAGAUCAUGUGUGACAUCGAACACUCAGAGGAAGACCGGUCUUUGCAAGAUGAACCGGACGAAAGCCUCGAAUACAUGCCAGCACACAGCGCAGACAACCGAAAGAGACCCCGAGGAACAAAGCGACCAGUCGCCAAACAUGAGACUAGUCGCCGAAUAUGAGCUGGAACAAUAUUCGGCGGGAGCCGGACACCUGGACCCAACAAGACACGAACAAAUACCCAGACCCAAUGAGGAGGAUAUUCGGCCAACCGCG
rnacentral:lncRNA from 1 species